CAUGCCGCGUGUGUGAAGAAGGCUUUCGGGUUGUAAAGCACUUUCAGUAAGGAGGAAAACCUUACGAUUAAUACUCGUGAGGCUUGACGUUACUUACAGAAGAAGCACCGGCUAACUCCGUGCCAGCAACUUCGGUGACUGAGCGGGCUGGCAAGGCGCAUA
rnacentral:rRNA from 1 species